rnacentral:rRNA from 1 species
AGUGAACGCUGGCGGUAGGCCUAACACAUGCAAGUCGAACGGCAGCACAGUAAGAGCUUGCUCUUACGGGUGGCGAGUGGCGGACGGGUGAGGAAUACAUCGGAAUCUACUUUUUCGUGGGGGAUAACGUAGGGAAACUUACGCUAAUACCGCAUACGACCUACGGGUGAAAGCAGGGGAUCUUCGGACCUUGCGCGAUUGAAUGAGCCGAUGUCGGAUUAGCUAGUUGGCGGGGUAAAGGCCCACCAAGGCGACGAUCCGUAGCUGGUCUGAGAGGAUGAGCAGGCACAAGGGAACUGAGACACGGGCCAGACUCCUACGGGAGGCAGCAGUGGGGAAUAUUGGACGAUGGGCGCAAGCCUGAUCCAGCCAUACCGCGUGGGUGAAGAAGGCCUUCGGGUUGUAAAGCCCUUUUGUUGGGAAAGAAAAGCAGCAGGUUAAUACCCCGCUGUUCUGACGGUACCCAAAGAAUAAGCACCGGCUAACUUCGUG